AUUGAACGCUGGCGGCAGGCCUAACACAUGCAAGUCGAACGAGUGGCGGACGGGAGAGCAAUGUCUGGGAAACUGCCCGAUGGAGGGGGACAACUACCGGUAACUGUAGCCAAUACCGCAUUCCAUCGGAUGUGCCCAGUUGGGAUUAGCUAGUUGGUGGGGUAACGGCUCACCUGGGCGACGAGCCCUAGCUGGUCUGAGAGGAUGACCAGCCACACUGGAACUGAGACACGGUCCAGACUCCUACGGGAGGCAGCAGUGGGGAAUAUUGCACAAUGGGCGCAAGCCUGAUGCAGCCAUGCCGCGUGUGUGAAGAAGGCCUUCGGGUUGUAAAGUACUUUAAGCGAGGAGGCGUUACUCGCAGAAGAAGCACCGGCUAACUCCGUGCCAGCCGCCGCGGUAAUAC
rnacentral:rRNA from 1 species